ensembl:ncRNA ZK370.11 ncRNA
CCAGAAAAGGAGAUUUUUUAAUGUGCCGCACAUCUAUGUUCUCAAUUGAACUCCAUGGAAGCAUUCAAAUGUGAAAAGGCGCUCACAAAAACACCAAGAUUUCCAUGGCACAUCGUCAGCUUCUCAUCCUAGUAGUCGUCGCCGAGUGCGCAGCGCGAAAAUUAAAUUGUUUUGUCAUGGAAGAAAAAGAUGGAAAGAAGAAUCUUCUCUUC